AGAAGGGCAUCCAACUAGGCUCCGCCCAGUACUCGAGGAUCGUUGGGGGCGGGGCCUUCUAAGAGGGGGGUGGCCUUCAAAGGCUCCGCCCUCUGCUCUGCUGGGCCCGCUAUAGACAAGACUAGAGAGUGGAGGAGGCUGCGUCCCUUCUGCUGCAGCGUUAAGAAGCCCCACCCAUCAAGCUGCUGUAAGAGUCACGGCGCGCGUGGGCGGAGUUAUUAUAAGGGUCAGUCCCCUACCCGCUACUGAGAAGAGGCGGUGUGAGACCGGAGGGCGUCAGCCUACUCAGCCCGCCUUCCCGAGCUCCCUUGUGAGGUCCUCUGGCUGUUGAGGCUUCCCCGGCGUCAGUAGGUUUCUCUGCUCCCAGCCUUCAGUAAUCCACAGUCACAGCAUUGAAAACACCAAUAGCUGCGGGAGCGAUGCUUCAGCAGAUAAAGGAACUAGCGGUGCAAAGCCUGUUGACCUGAGCUCGAUCCCGAAACCCACGUAAAGAUGAACUUACACAAAGUUGUCCUACACCCUCGCCAUAGCACUCUCCCUGCACUAGUAAUAAAUUAAAAACAAAAAAAAAAACCUGCGGCCUACUGUUUCUGGGUGUCCUCUGUAUGCGUUUCCACUCCGCAAGUCUUCUGCCCCUGAGCCUACACAGUAGAUAACCAAUAAAUACUUGCUGCGUCAUCUCAUGGACCUCUGCCAGAGGAUGCUGCAGAGGCUCAGAAGUGAUGCACAAGACAGCGCUCACCUGGAGUGGGUGAAGCUCAUCGCGGUGCCCUCCAACCCCACGCUCAGCCCACCCUGCGGCUGCUGAGGUGCUGGGAAGCUGCUGUCCCUCCCGCCCCGCAAGCAGCUCCAGUCUUUAGACUUAGACCACUACAGAUCCUUCCUUGUGCGCAGGACCUAAGACAAAACUAACGUGAAAGAAAAUACUCCAAACCCAGUACUUUGAAUAAACCUUGAAAACAUGCUUAGAUGACGAAUAACAAGAACUACAUGUUCUGUGUUUCCAUUUACAAGAAGUAUUCAAAAGAGGAAAGUCCACGAAGAGAGGAAGUUGAUGAGUGCUGUAAGCUAGAGGGAAAGAGCUGUAGCUGAGACCAUUGUUACUCCUUUAUGAAAUGAGAUUACCGAAGAAACAGAGAUGUCAAGAAAUGUUCCAGGUCACACAGCAGGUAAGUAGCAGGGUUAGAAUUAUGUUCAAAGUCCAAGCUUUUCACUGCAGUCAGAUGACAGAUUUUUAAGAUUCGAGAACUCAGAGGGCAGAAAGAUACACCCACAAGGAAACAGUGAAGCAGAGUGGCACAUGCUUUUAAUCCCAGAGGUAGAGCCAGGCAGAUCUCAAGGCUAGCAUAAUGAGAUUCUACCUAGUUCAUAAGCAAAAAACAAAAGAAAGAAAA